UACGAAGGGGGCUAGCGUUGUUCGGAUUUACUGGGCGUAAAGCGCACGUAGGCGGGUCGUUAAGUCGGGGGUGAAAUCCUGGAGCUCAACUCCAGAACUGCCUUCGAUACUGGCGACCUUGAGUCCGGAAGAGGUGAGUGGAACUCCUAGUGUAGAGGUGGAAUUCGUAGAUAUUAGGAAGAACACCAGUGGCGAAGGCGGCUCACUGGUCCGGUACUGACGCUGAGGUGCGAAAGCGUGGGGAGCAAACAGG
rnacentral:rRNA from 1 species